UCCAUUGACAUGCAACGACCGGUUUCGGUUUCCAACUGUCUUCUAGGGUUUUCAGUGAUUAAACGUCACCCACCGUCCCUUUCCCUCCAUUCUCUCUUCCCUCUUUCUCAUUCUCAGAAUCUCAGGUAUGCUUCUCUUUCCCAUUUAAUUUCACCUGUAUACCUGCAUAUGAUUUCGCUUCUAUGCAUAUUACUGCAUUUCUAGUUCAAUACUAUUUCUCCGUCAAUGGCAAGACCCCUCCUCCAUCUCUGUUCCUCUUCCAAGAGAAACUUCUUUAGGGCCACACUUUUUCCCUGCUCAAACCGUUUCCUCCAUGCCCGCACUCCAGAAUCCAGGAAAUUUCAAGAUUACCCCUUCCAUGAGCCCAGAUUACCACCCCAGCCUCAGUUCUUGCACACCCACUUCGCGCAAUUCACAAAGUUUGGAUUUUUAAGUUUCAGUGGACGCCAUUUUUCUGCGCUGGGUGGAAAUGAUGGUUCUUGUUCGAGUCCAGUGGAAAACGUGGAGGGUGAAGCUGGUAAUCUGGAGUUGGGGAAGGAGGAGAAUGAAGAUGGGAAGGUUGGGUGUGAGAAAAGAUUGGAUUUUGCUCAUAUAGCGGGCCGUGAUCCAGUGGAAAUUUAUAGGGAGCUCAGAGAUGCCAGCAAGGGGGAGAAGCAAACCCGGGGAGAUUGGGAUUCCUGUACUGAAAUUUUUAGGGGUUUUGCAAAGUCUGGAUGGGCAUCAAAUCAGGCAUUAGCUGUUUAUAUUGGGGCUUCAUUUUUCCCCACUGCAGUGCUCAAAUUUCGUAAGUUUUUCUUCAAGAAAUGUAAGACUGAUAUUGUUAAAUAUUUAGUCUCCCUUGGCCCUUCUCAUGAAGCUGAGAAGUUCUUGUUUCCAAUGUUUGUUGAAUUUUGCUUUGAGGAGUUUCCUGAUGAAAUUAAGAGAUUUAGGUCUAUGGUUGAGUCAGCAGAUUUGACAAAACCACAUACAUGGUUCCCAUUUGCGAGGGCUAUGAAACGCAAGAUUAUAUAUCACUGUGGUCCGACUAAUAGUGGAAAGACGUAUAAUGCGCUUCAGAGAUUCAUGGAAGCGAAGAAGGGGAUCUAUUGUAGUCCACUAAGGUUGUUGGCCAUGGAAGUUUUUGAUAAGGUUAAUGCUGUAGGGGUUUAUUGUAGCCUCCUCACUGGGCAAGAGAAGAAGUCGGUUCCAUUUUCGAGUCAUGUUGCUUGUACGGUUGAGAUGGUGUCUACAGAUGAGUUGUAUGAUGUGGCUGUUAUUGAUGAAAUACAAAUGAUGGCAGAUUCGUGUAGAGGAUAUGCAUGGACGAGGGCUUUGCUUGGGUUAAAGGCCGAUGAGAUACAUUUAUGUGGCGAUCCGAGUGUUUUGAAUAUUGUUAGAAGGAUUUGUUCUGAUACGGGGGAUGAGUUGGUAGAGCAACAUUAUGAGCGGUUUAAGCCAUUGGUGGUCGAAGCAAAGACCCUUCUUGGGGAUCUGAAAAACGUAAAAUCUGGAGAUUGUGUUGUUGCCUUCUCGAGGAGGGAAAUAUUUGAGGUUAAAUUGACAAUCGAGAAGUUAACGAAUCAUCGUUGUUGUGUUAUAUAUGGAGCAUUGCCACCGGAAACUCGUAGGCAUCAGGCUUCGUUGUUUAACGAUCCAGAUAACGAGUACGAUGUCCUGGUUGCUAGUGAUGCGGUAGGAAUGGGAUUGAAUCUAAAUAUUCGACGGGUUGUGUUCUAUAAUCUGUCGAAAUAUAAUGGUGACAAGAUUGUCCCCGUUCCAGCUUCCCAGGUGAAGCAAAUUGCUGGAAGAGCUGGUAGGAGAGGAAGCAGAUUUCCCGAAGGAUUAACUACCACUUUGCAUCUGGAGGAUUUGGAUUAUUUGAUCGAGUGCUUGAAGGAGCCUUUCGAUGAAGUUAAGAAAGUCGGGCUCUUUCCGUUCUUCGAGCAGGUUGAGCUAUUUGCCGGGCAACUCUCAAACGCCACCUUCUCGGAGUUACUCGAAAAGUUUGGAGCAAAUUGCCGUUUAGAUGGUUCUUACUUCCUAUGUCAACACGGUCACAUAAAGAAAAUAGCUAAUAUGUUGGAGAAAGUUCAGGGGUUAUCUCUCGAAGAUCGUUUCAAUUUUUGCUUUGCCCCGGUUAACAUCCGAGACCCGAAAGCAAUGUACCAUCUACUAAGGUUUGCGUCAUCGUAUGCCCAGAAUCUGCCCGUUAACAUAGCCAUGGGCAUGCCAAAAUGCUCUGCCCGUAAUGAUUCGGAGCUCUUGGAUCUCGAGACUAGACACCAAGUAUUGUCUACUUAUAUGUGGUUGUCUAAUCACUUUGAAUCGGAAAAGUUCCCGUACUUUAAGAAGGCCGAGGCAAUGGCAGCGGGCGUUGCUGAAUUACUGGGCGAGUCACUGACUAAAGCUUGCUGGAAACCGGAAUCGAGAUCAGGCGGAAAACCUAGGAUGCAGGACAAGGAUAAUAGGGAAAAGCGCGAGAAAUCAUUACCAGGACAGCAAGAGGAGAAGAAGGUUGCUGCACAAUGCUCCUAAUGAGGUAUAGUAGCGGGACAGAAGGAAAUGGAUCAAGAUUGUGCAUUUCUCGACAAUAGGGUCUCAUGUGUGUUUCUUGGCCAAAACAUACGCUUUCUCGAUGGAACGGGAUACCAUUAUCGCCAUACUUCAUCGGUUUAUUGAAUGCCAUACGCCCACCGGAAUCCAGAUGUUUACAGUAAUAGUAAGUUCUUGGCAUUGGAUGAAGAGGGAUGAUUGAAAAGAAAACUUGUUGAGGGUAUAAGUUAAGUUUUUAUGUAGCUAAUCCUAUUUGUAGGUAGAGCUUCAUACUCCUUUUCUUCUUAUACAGAACAAAUGAGUACAUUCUUUUUGACAGUAUUCCAUAUGAAAAAAAAAAAAAAAA